UGGGCGUAAAGCGCAUGCAGGUGGUUUGUUAAGUCAGAUGUGAAAGCCCGGGGCUCAACCUCGGAAUUGCAUUUGAAACUGGCAAACUAGAGUACUGUAGAGGGGGUAGAAUUUCAGGUGUAGCGGUGAAAUAGCGUAGAGAUCUGAAGGAAUACCGGUGGCGAAGGCGGCCCCCUGGACAGAUACUGACACUCAGAUGCGAAAGCGUGGGGAGCCAAACAGGAUUAGAUACCCCUGGUAG
rnacentral:rRNA from 1 species